AUUGAACGCUGGCGGCAUGCCUUACACAUGCAAGUCGAACGGUAACGCGGGGCAACCUGGCGACGAGUGGCGAACGGGUGAGUAAUGCAUCGGAACGUGCCCAGUAGUGGGGGAUAGCCCGGCGAAAGCCGGAUUAAUACCGCAUACGACCUACGGGUGAAAGGGGGGGAUCGCAAGACCUCUCGCUAUUGGAGCGGCCGAUGUCAGAUUAGGUAGUUGGUGGGGUAAAAGCCUACCAAGCCGACGGUCUGUAGCUGGUCUGAGAGGACGACCAGCCACACUGGGACUGAGACACGGCCCAGACUCCUACGGGAGGCAGCAGUGGGGAAUUUUGGACAAUGGGGGAAACCCUGAUCCAGCCAUGCCGCGUGCGGGAAGAAGGCCUUCGGGUUGUAAACCGCUUUUGUCAGGGAAGAAACGCUCUGGGCUAAUACCUUGGAGUAAUGACGGUACCUGAAGAAUAAGCACCGGCUAACUACGUGCCAGCAGCCGCAGUAACAC
rnacentral:rRNA from 1 species